rnacentral:rRNA from 1 species
UACGUAGGGGGCAAACGUUGUCCGGAUUUACUGGGUGUAAAGGGUGCUCAGGCGGUCUUGUAAGUUAGAAGUGAAAUCCUAGGGCUCAACUCUGGAGCUGCUUUUAAUACUGCAAGGCUUGAAUAUGGAAGGGGAGGGUGGAAUUUCUGGUGUAGCAGUGAAAUGCGUAGAUAUCAGAAAGAACACCAGUGGCGAAGGCGGCCCUCUGGUCCAUUAUUGACGCUAAAGCACGAAAGCGUGGGGAGCAAACAGG